rnacentral:rRNA from 1 species
AACGAACGCUGGCGGCAGGCCUAAAACAUGCAAGUCGAACGCUCUAGCAAUAGAGAGUGGCGCACGGGUGCGUAACACGUGGGAAUAUGCCUUUUGGUACGGAACAACGUUUGGAAACGAACGCUAAUACCGUAUGGUCCCUUCGGGGUAAAGAUUUAUCGCCAAAAGAUUAGCCCGCGCUGGAUUAGCUAGUUGGUGAGGUAAUGGCUCACCAAGGCGACGAUCCAUAGCUGGUCUGAGAGGAUGAUCAGCCACACUGGGACUGAGACACGGCCCAGACUCCUACGGGAGGCAGCAGUUAGGAAUAUUGGACAAUGGACGCAAGUACUGAUCCAGCCAUGCCGCGUGAGCGAUGAAGG